rnacentral:rRNA from 1 species
GACGAACGCUGGCGGCGUGCCUAAUACAUGCAAGUCGAACGCAGUGGGGACGGGUGAGUAACACGUGGGUAACCUCCCAUCAGAGGGGAUAACACUUGGAAACAGGUGCUAAACCGAUACUGAUGGAUGGACCCGCGGUGCAUUAGCUAGUUGGUGAGGUAACGGCUCACCAAGGCCACGAUGCAUAGCCGAGCUGAGAGGGUGAUCGGCAAAACGGGGACUGUGACACGGCCCAGAAUCCGACGGGAGGCAGCAGUAGGGAAUCUUCGGCAAUGGACGAAAGUCUGACCGAGCAAUGCCGCGUGAGUGAAGAAGGUUUUAGGAUCGUAAAACUCUGUUGUUAGAGAAGCGGGAUCUAACGAGGAAGCCACGGCUAACUACGUGCCAGCAGCCGCGGUAAUAC